AUGAGCUGCAUCAGCUGGAACUGCUGGGGGCUUGGGAACCCCGGGGCAGUUCGCGAGCUUCGCAACCUUGUGAAGCAAGAAGGGCCCAUUCUCCUCUUCGUCAUGGAGACAAAGAUCCAAGGGAGAAAAGUGGAGGACCUGCAAAACACGUUGGGCUUUGUAGGUAGCUUUGGAGUGGACAACAAUGGACUGAGUGGUGGCAUCGGUUUGUUCUGGUCAAGUGAGGUUUCAGUUAGUCUGAAAAACUACAGUAGUAGUCAUAUUGAUGUAAUGGUGCAAAAGAGAGAUACAUCAGCACAGGAAUGUCGCUUUACUGGUUUUUAUGGAGAGCCCAAGGUGGAAGAUAGACAUCACAGUUGGCGCUUUGCUACCUCUUGA
rnacentral:rRNA from 1 species